CCUACGGGUGGCAGCAGUGAGGAAUAUUGGUCAAUGGCCGGAAGGCUGAACCAGCCAAGCCGCGUGAAGGAAGAAGGUUCUAUGGAUUGUAAACUUCUUUUAUAGGGGGAUAAAGGUAGGCACGAGAGGAUAUUUGCAUGUACCCUAUGAAUAAGCAUCGGCUAACUCCGUGCCAGCAGCCGCGGUAAUACGGAGGAUGCGAGCGUUAUCCGGAUUUAUUGGGGUUAACGGGUGCGUAGGUGGUUUUUUAAGUCAGCGGUUAAAGUUUGUGGCUCAACCCUAAACUUGCCGUUGAAACUGGCAGUCUUGAGUUUGUUUGAGGUAUGCGGAAUGCGUGGUGUAGCGG
rnacentral:rRNA from 1 species